UACGGAGGGAGCUAGCGUUAUUCGGAAUUACUGGGCGUAAAGCGCACGUAGGCGGCUUUGUAAGUUAGAGGUGAAAGCCUGGAGCUCAACUCCAGAAUUGCCUUUAAGACUGCAUCGCUUGAAUCCAGGAGAGGUGAGUGGAAUUCCUAGUGUAGAGGUGGAAUUCGUAGAUAUUAGGAAGAACACCAGUGGCGAAGGCGGCUCACUGGUCCGGUACUGACGCUGAGGUGCGAAAGCGUGGGGAGCAAACAGGG
rnacentral:rRNA from 1 species